GCGUGACUCCAUGCUGAGUUUUGUAAGCCCUCCUAUGAAUCAUGGAGUGUGGGGUGGUCCUGGGGACCCCCAACACAGAGAAGAAAAACUAAAAAAACAGAAGCCAAAUAUGGUGAGCCCAGGCUCAGACCAAAAUGAAGAUUUGCAAAGGAAUUCAACUUUGACCACAGCAUUUUUAAUAUCAUCAAACAAAUAAAUAAAUAAAAAGCCCUCUUCAUAA